GUUUGACAAUUUGUACACAACACGUGCAGCAGGACGAGUCAGUGGACGACGCAUCAGGGUCCGGUUACCACACGCCGCUCUGGCCCAGUCAGAUCCGACAGCAUAGACUACAAAAGCAAAAGCUCAGUCAAACAAACGUCGACUUCGGACUGCCGCCCCCCUACCACCCCUUUCUUCCUCACCGCCCCCCCAGAUCUUUCCACCGCCCCCAGGGGGGCGGUACCGCCCACUUUGGGAACCACUGAUUUAGUUUAAUGAAUCAUAUCAAAACAAAAUCCAGAAAUCGUCCUGAAGUGACACAUUUGGACCAGCUGAUGCGCAUAAAGGCAAAGCAAGAAGCAGACGAAGCCAUCAACCUGGACAAAGUGUACAACCAUUGGAGAAGUGAGAAGGACAGACGUGAAAAAUAAGGACCCUCAGCCAGGCCAAAGCAGGACUCUUCCCAUGGCCAAAGCAGGACUCUCACAUACUGUAUAACAUCUACACAUCCCAUUUUUCAGAUUUUUGUCUUUUUUUAAGUGGACCAAAAUACUUAUUUAAAAAUAAAGCGUGCAUAUCUGAUGUUGCUCACAGUAGUCCAGUAGCGGGGGUUUCCUCAGGGAGCUUGUGUGUAUGCCCAGAUACAUGUAAAAUUAGAGGGAACAUUGCUUGCAAGUGGAGAAAAUGUUCGUCACUGUGCAUGCAGCGAUGUUCGAACGAAGUCUGACUUUGGAUUCUUGCAAGAGAGGAUUUAUUGAGAGAAAACAGGGUGGGGGUGAGAGUGGACAGGUUUGGUGAACCCCCAGCCUCUGGUCAAAUCAGACCAGGGGGUGUUUUACGACGAUGGGGGAAACAGAACAAAUUUGAUUGCUUCUUCUGCAGCUGGUCAAACAAGGAGAGGAUGCAACCACUUUAUUUUACUGCGUUGUGAGAGCAGGACUAAGUUUUGUUAAUCAUUAUAGUCUACAUUCCAACAUAAUCAUACAAUCAAAAAUAAUCUAUCAACCCUAACAAAAGUGUUUAAAAAUAAAAUUAUAAAAGUCUUAUGAGGAUGCCCUUGUGCUAGUCUGCAGGAGUGCAUCAGCCGGUCAGCACGGCAAGAGCAGAGUGGAGCCGUGACACAUUUGCGGUAGUUUAUUUGUAACUUUGUGAGUAUUAGUGAAGCCCUAAAGAAUGUUUAGAUGUCUACAUGUUUUGUGGCAGCAAAAAUCGCUGUGACAAUGCAAAAAAAAUCAAUUUCUCCUGUGUUUUAAUGAGUCAAAUACAUUGUAAAAUCCAUGUACCGCCUGCAAUGUGGUCAUAUUCCAGUCAAUGCUGUUUGGUGCACUGAAUGAGAAAUUUUGAUGAAUUGUUUAGAUGUCAGAAGAUGUGUGAAGGGUUAAUAAACUGCCUAAUGGAAGUGUCAA